CCACGAACACUGUCAUAAUCUUGCACAAUAUAUCAACCCAUCAUUUCUGAUUUCCCCCAUAUAGAUAAUUUCACAAAUAAAUAUGGGGGAAAUCAGAAAUGAUGGGUUGAUAUAUUGUGCAAGAUUAUGACAGUGUUCGUGGAUCGCUGAUUUCCCCCCUUCUUUGUAUGAACCUUUAUCUUCGUCAUUUGUUGUCUAAAAUAAAUGACAUAUUUCAUUCUCA